UGCCGCACCGUAAAGCAAGAACUUUGUUUCUCUGGAAAUGUUUGAGUACCUUAGAAUAUUAAACAACGAAACACUUUGAAUAUGGAUUUUCGACUGGAAGAAUCAGGCCAAUUACCAUCCGUCUGUUCGUCCGCAUUAUCCACUUACAGGGAAUUAUCCUCUUUCUAGCGGGUCUGCUGCUGGAGACGCGCGCGCGAGUUCUCUUUCUCCGAUCUCCCCUCUAUCUCCCUCAGCUGCUCCUUCUUUAUUCGGCAGCCGGAAAAAUCGUGGCGUGGAAUAGCCAGUACCAUUGUCUAGCAGUGGUACGUACAGACGAACAGACAGAGAGGCAAACGAAGAUUCAGAAACGUUUCGAACAAAGAGUCCGGUAAAGAGUAAACUAGGUUCUCUCGAAAGGGCAAGAGACUCCGGUGUUUCCCGCAGUUCAUUUGAGUGUUAAUCGGUGGCCAUUGGGCAUAUUACCGGACCGGUAAUACGCGCAGGUAAACCGUGUGGGUUCUUUUCCCGUAUCUCUUUCCCGUUUGUCCGUUCUCGUUUCUUCUUCGAGACCUCUAAUUUCUUCUUGUUGUACCUCUUCGUUGCGCUCGUUGUUCAAACCGUUCGUCGUGCAACUCGCUCCCUUUUCCAACUAUGGCUAUUCUCUACACGAGACAGACAGACAGAGAAAGAGAAAGAGAGAGAGUCUUCUGAUGUUUCUGGUGUGUUGUUGGCCGUGGGUCUGUUUCGUCGAACCUCGAAGCAUU
rnacentral:misc_RNA from 1 species